rnacentral:rRNA from 1 species
UACGAAGGGUGCAAGCGUUAAUCGGAAUUACUGGGCUUAAAGCGUGUGUAGGCGGAUCGUUAAGUACCUUGUGAAAUCCCACGGCUCAACCGUGGAACUGCUGGGUAUACUGCGAGUCUUGAGCCACUUAGGGGCUGUCGGAACAGGCGGUGGAGCGGUGAAAUGCGUAGAUAUCGCCUGGAACGCCAAAGGUGAAAACAGACAGCUGGGAGUGUGCUGACGCUGAGACACGAAAGCCAGGGGAGCGAACGGG